rnacentral:ncRNA from 1 species
AGUCCACAAAUUUGGUAAAGAGAUUUGUCUGGUUAAUUCCUAUAACAAACGACACUUAAGCCUGCUAAUUAGUAAGCCAGUCCUCUGUUCCUGUGCUGGUGGUGUUUUUGCGAAACUGCUCUCUUCAGCUGACUACUUUCGGGCCACGCAUUUCUCUGCACGCGUGUGCUGCGAGCUCCUCCUGGGGUGAGUGGUGUGCGUAAGUGUGGGUGCGUGCGUGGAAUGUGGUAGGAGGUGUGAACGUAGGGCUCAGCGCUAGCCUCCGGGUACGGCGCAGUUGUGUCUACUUCUUAGAGGGACAAGCAUUAAGAAUGUGAAGGAAAUUGAACAAGAAGAGGUCUGUG